rnacentral:misc_RNA from 1 species
UGAAGCUGCAAACUUCUUUCACAUCAGGCGGCUGGCUCCAGCAUCUUCACCUAUCAUUUGUCAAGAGGGUAACCUGGUAAAAAUAGCUAAACGACACCUAAUCAGUUCUAAACUUCAUGAAAAUUCUAAUCAAGAAACAAAAGCCUAGUUUAUGUAGCCAGAAAGGCAGUUAUCUCAAAUGAAACACUGAACAAUUUUCUGGUUUGCUUGGUAUCUAAAACAAUGUUUUGACCGGCCAGAAAAAGCUACCAGGAGAAAUAUGACAAAUGAAAAGGAACAGCUGCUCCGGCUAGUGACUAUAGCUCACUAUCACUUGCUUUCCCUCUGCUUGAUGUUUUUCCAUUCACUGCAACAAGCUCUGUGUCAAAUAUUAGUGUUGCUCCGCCUGGAAUCGUAGGUGGGGAUCCCUGAGCACCAUAACCAAGUUUUGCUGGUAUUUUCAACUUUCGCUUCUCGCCUACGCACAUUCCCAAAAGUCCUUGGUCCCAUCCUGCAAGAAGGAAAUAUUCCAAGUGUCAAUAGUCUUUUGACAACACUUUGAAGGGAACAUAAUUGGGUAUUGGGCUUUUAGCAGAAAUCUGGUAACAAUAUAUUUAUAUAUGGAUAGAGAAAUCAAGAAUACAUGAAAGCAGUGGAUAGUCGUUAGUAUUUCAAAAACCUUUGAUAACUUGACCACUUCCAAGCUCAAAUUCAAUUGGAUCACCCCUUUCAAAGCUGGAAUCAAAAACAGUUCCAUCUGUGAGUUUUCCCUGUAAGUACAAAACAAUUUAUGAUGUAAAUAAAGAAAUUGAUAUGAAACUUGUUUACACCAAGAAUGAGGACUACGUAUAGGGUUAUAUGACAUGAAAAUGAAUAAUAAAGGAAAAUGAAGCACAGUGAUGGGAAAGAUAUGCACUUGAGUGUGUAACAACCAAAUAAUCUCCCAAUCAUAACUUAGAAUGCAUAAUGGGUCCUAGGAUAAUCGUCCGAGACCAAAAAAGUCAUUUGCAUAUCACAGAUAAAAUGAAGAAUAAAUUGACUGUUCAGGGACUCAGCAACGCCUAUUAUUAUUUCCAAUGCUGCAACUACUCACUUUGAAAAUGGCAUUAGGCUAC